UACAGAGGUCUCAAGCGUUGUUCGGAUUCAUUGGGCGUAAAGGGUGCGUAGGUGGCGCGGUAAGUCGGGUGUGAAAUCUCGGAGCUUAACUCCGAAAUUGCAUUCGAUACUGCCGUGCUUGAGGACUGGAGAGGAGACUGGAAUUCAUGGUGUAGCAGUGAAAUGCGUAGAGAUCAUGAGGAAGACCAGUGGCGAAGGCGGGGUCUCUGGACAGUUCCUGACACUGAGGCACGAAGGCCAGGGGAGCAAACGGG
rnacentral:rRNA from 1 species